AUCUUAUUAUCAUUGACAGAUGUAAAACUACUUUCUUCGAUGUGGGAAGACAGUAAAAUAUAAUGUAAUGUGUGUGUGCAUCCUAUUCUCAGAGAGAAGACCUAUCAAACAGUCACAAGAGUCUUAAUGCAGAGAACUCCUGAAUACAUUAGGGAUAUGAAAAAUGUGAAUAUGGUUGAAAACACAUGAACUGUAUUGUCCUGGAGCUGUUUUCUCUCAACAUAUAAAUGAAGACGUUCCUCCUUCCUUAAUUCAUUAAACCUUCAGAAAUCUUUAUGGAACAAGUACUAUCUAUGUGCCAAUCACUGGAGAGAGAACCAUGAAGCAUGCAGAAGCUUGGCCUCCUGCAGCAUUUAUUCUGAUGAGAUAAUUUACAUCUAAAUAAGUGACCUAAUAAAAAACAAAGCAUGUUAAAGGACUGAAGAGUAAUGAGUGGGCCACUGAUUUCUGGAGCCCAGAGGCAUUGAAGAGAAGCCUGGGUACUUUUGAGGUCCAAAUAAAGAGACCUGAUAAGAAUCUUUCUAUCCUCUGCAGAGGGUGGAGAUGCUGUUGACUUCCACUACCUAUGGGACUAUUGUGGCCUGACCCUCUGCAGUCCAACAAAGAAAAGAAUAAUGGAUCUAAAAGAGACCAACAUUCAAGUAAAGAAUGGCCAGAAUGCAUCUAGAGAAGUAAAACUGCUGAGGGAUUGAGAUGACAGUUGGUUAAAAAUAAUGAGAAUAUGUAAAGGAAUUCAAGUAUAAAGUACACUCAGGGAAAGGAUGUUUGUAGAUUAACAACAUGAUUUAUCCACCAAACAAUACCAGAGGAUUAAAGACAAAAAUAUCUGAGAAACUAUCAUCCAAGCACUCCAUCUGAAAGAAAAAGUAGUAAAGUGUCUUAACUAAAGGAAUCAGAAUAGAAACUAAAAGAUGGCAGAACAGAACAAGAGCAUGUGUGUACAAGAAGAGCACGGAAUGAGGAACCAAAGACCUAGCUAGAGCCAUUUGCAGUAAUCAAGCUGGGAAUUUAAGAAACAAAGGUUCUAAUGUACAAAUAACUAGUUCAACUCUUUAAUGUGAAUUAGCCUAUCUUCUCUGGGAUAGACAAUCUCUUCUAAAAAUCUUUAUUAAUGUAGGAAACUGGACUAUUUGGCUACACCAUGUUUCGAUCCAUAGAUUGCUUGGAGUUAUGUGGCCAACCUGGCAAGGAAGUUUACACUGUUUUCCAUCUUAUUCCAGUUUUGUCUAGGAAAAUGAGCUUCCCAGAAAAAUGAAGACAGAUUUUUCUCAAUAAGUAACAUAGUAAUGUUUUCUUCAUUCAUAAUCUCCAAACACCCCAAAGUAACCAACAGUGUAUCAUCAUGCAAUGAGAUUUAAACAUUGAAAGAACACUUGCCAGGAAAUGCAACUCAAAAUUAAAAUACAAAUAAUAACAAAAUAGAAUACUUUGUGUAACAAGAGGGUAAGAUAUGUCCAGAUAACCUGACUUAGGUUAAUUUAAAUUGUUCUUGAGAGAAGAAAGGAAAAUAAGAACUAUCCAAAUCCAUUUUUGUGGUCAUAAACACAGUAUGACAAAUGUCCUACCUUCAAGAAAACAUCUUGUGCUGAACAUUCCACAGAAAUAGAAAUGAGCCCGCAUAUUUGUGUUUAUACUCAGCUACCGCAUUGUGUAUCCACAGACAGUAUCACACUGGGUUUUGAUUGAUGCUUCCAUUAAAAUGGCUUGUGCUGUCAUUUUGUGUUCCCAUUCUUACCUAAACGAACAAUCGAUUUCUUUUAAUGUAGAAAAGCAAAGGGAAUAUAGAACUUACAUGAUAUAAUCUUCUUUAAACUAAAAUCAUAUAUUUUAUAGAUGUGCUGG